rnacentral:rRNA from 1 species
CAGUAGCCGCGGUAAUACGAGGGGGGCAAGCGUUGUUCGGAAUUAUUGGGCGUAAAGGGUGCGUAGGCGGUUUGAUAAGUCAUCUGUGAAAUCUAUGGGCUCAACCCAUAGUCUGCAGGCGAAACUGUCGGGCUUGAGUAUUGGAGAGGUGAGUGGAAUUUCCGGUGUAGCGGUGAAAUGCGUAGAUAUCGGAAGGAACACCUGUGGCGAAAGCGGCUCACUGGACAAUUACUGACGCUGAUGCACGAAAGCUAGGGGAGCAAACAGGAUUAGAUACCCGCGUAGUCCCUGUCUCUUAUAA